rnacentral:rRNA from 1 species
UGGGGAAUUUUGGACAAUGGGCGAAAGCCUGAUCCAGCAAUGCCGCGUGAGUGAAGAAGGCCUUCGGGUUGUAAAGCUCUUUUGUCAGGGAAGAAACGGUGAAAGCUAAUAUCUUUUGCUAAUGACGGUACCUGAAGAAUAAGCACCGGCUAACUACGUGCCAGCAGCCGCGGUAAUACGUAGGGUGCAAGCGUUAAUCGGAAUUACUGGGCGUAAAGCGUGCGCAGGCGGGUUUGUAAGUCGGAUGUGAAAUCCCCGGGCUCAACCUGGGAAUUGCAUUGGAGACUGCAAGGCUAGAGUCUGGUAGAGGGGGGUAGAAUUCCACGUGUAGCAGUGAAAUGCGUAGAUAUGUGGAGGAACACCGAUGGCGAAGGCAGCCCCCUGGGCCAAGAUUGACGCUCAUGCACGAAAGCGUGGGGAGCAAACA